UAAGAUAGUUAUACGGUCGCGGGGACAGGGCGAGCCUGUCAAUGAGGAAAGUCCGAGCGUUUUAGAAACAGGGUGCCGGAGAAAUCCCGGUGGAGGCGACUUUAAGGAAAGUGCAACAGAAAACAACCGCCAAGAAAUUGGUAAGGAUGAAAAGGUGCGGUAAGAGCGCACCGCCCUUGCGGUAACGCAAGGGGCAAUGUAAACCCCACCCGACGCAAGAUUGACAAACCGUUUUAAUAGGGAGUUUCACCGAAACGGUUUAACAAAUAUCGCUAGGGGAUAACGGUAACGUUAUUCGUAGAUAAAUGACCGUACACGACAGAACUCGGCUUAUCGAUUAUCUUAUAAU
rnacentral:RNase_P_RNA from 1 species